UACAUUUCCUCAAUUUCAUCG
rnacentral:piRNA from 1 species